AACCCCAUAUAGUGUCGGCGCUCUGAAAACAAGGUUGGAAUUCAAACUCAACAUUAAAUCUGCAAAGUAAAUGCAUGCCAGCUUCUACCCACCCAAAUCCUUCAUCAGUCCUGGCAGACACCAAGGAUUUGGUUGGGUCAGUCCAGCCAAGACAGACAGACCCAAAAUCACUCUACCAAGAAAAUUACUGACAAAGGCAAGGAAGAAGAGGCAUCUACCUUCCUGCAAGGAUAUGUAAGAUG
rnacentral:misc_RNA from 1 species